rnacentral:rRNA from 1 species
GAUGAACGCUGGCGGCGUGCCUAAUACAUGCAAGUCGAGCGAACAGACGAGGAGCUUGCUCCUCUGACGUUAGCGGCGGACGGGUGAGUAACACGUGGAUAACCUACCUAUAAGACUGGGAUAACUUCGGGAAACCGGAGCUAAUACCGGAUAAUAUAUUGAACCGCAUGGUUCAAUAGUGAAAGACGGUUUUGCUGUCACUUAUAGAUGGAUCCGCGCCGCAUUAGCUAGUUGGUAAGGUAACGGCUUACCAAGGCAACGAUGCGUAGCCGACCUGAGAGGGGGAGCCGGCACAGUGGGAGUGGAAGACGAGCCAGACUCCGAAGGAGGGCAGGAGUAGGGGAUGUCGCGAGAGGGGGGAAGAGCUGAGAGGGCAACGCCGCGUGAGUGAAAAAGGUAUUGUGAUGGAAAAACUUUUUUAUUAGGGAAAAAAAAAUGUGUAAAAAAAAAUGCACGUUGUGAGGGAAGCAUAAAAAAAAGCCCCCGAAAAACGUG